ACUCAAAUGAAUUGACGGGGACCCGCACAAGCGGUGGAGCAUGUGGUUUAAUUCGACGCAACGCGAAGAACCUUACCUGGGUUAAAUCCCAGAUGCAACGCACAGAGAUGUGCGCCCCUCGCAAGAGGCGUUUGGGAAGGUGCUGCAUGGCUGUCGUCAGCUCGUGUCGUGAGAUGUUGGGUUAAGUCCCGCAACGAGCGCAACCCUUACCGUUAGUUGCUAACUGAUAAUGCAGAGCACUCUAAUGGAACUGCCGGUGAUAAACCGGAGGAAGGUGGGGAUGACGUCAAGUCAUCAUGGCCUCUAUGUCCAGGGCUACACACGUGCUACAAUGGCAUCUACAAACCGCAGCAAAAGAGCGAUCUGGAGCCAAUCGGAAAAAGGAUGUCUCAGUUCGGAUUGCAGUCUGCAACUCGGCUGCAUGAAGUUGGAAUCGCUAGUAAUCGCGGAUCAGCACGCCGCGGUGAAUACGUUCCCGGGUCUUGUACACACCGCCCGU
rnacentral:rRNA from 1 species